rnacentral:rRNA from 1 species
GACGAACGCUGGCGGCGUGCCUAAUACAUGCAAGUCGAGCGCAGGAAACUGACGGAACUCUUCGGAGGGAAGGCAGCGGAAUGAGCGGCGGACGGGUGAGUAACACGUAAGGAACCUGCCUCAAGGAUUGGGAUAACUCCGAGAAAUCGGAGCUAAUACCGGAUAGUUCAACGGACCGCAUGGUCCGCUGAGGAAAGGCGCUCCGGCGUCACCUUGAGAUGGCCUUGCGGUGCAUUAGCUAGUUGGUGGGGUAACGGCCCACCAAGGCGACGAUGCAUAGCCGACCUGAGAGGGUGAUCGGCCACACUGGGACUGAGACACGGCCCAGACUCCUACGGGAGGCAGCAGUAGGGAAUCUUCCACAAUGGACGAAAGUCUGAUGGAGCAACGCCGCGUGAGUGAUGAAGGUUUUCGGAUCGUAAAACUCUGUUGUAAGGGAAGAACACGUACGAGAGGGAAUGCUCGUACCUUGACGGUACCUUACGAGAAAGCCACGGCUAACUACGUGCCAGCCGCCGCCGUAA